AUUGAACGCUGGCGGAAUGCUUUACACAUGCAAGUCGAACGGUAGAGGGGGCAACCCCUCGAGAGUGGCGAACGGGUGAGUAAUAUAUCGGAACGUGCCCAGUCGUGGGGGAUAACGUAGCGAAAGUUACGCUAAUACCGCAUACGAUCUACCGCUGAAAGCGGGGGAUCGCAAGACCUCGCGCGAUUGGAGCGGCCGAUAGCAGAUUAGGUAGUUGGUGGGGUAAAGGCUCACCAAGCCAACGAUCUGUAGCUGGUCUGAGAGGACGACCAGCCACACUGGAACUGAGACACGGUCCAGACUCCUACGGGAGACAGCAGUGGGGAAUUUUGGACAAUGGACGCAAGUCUGAUCCAGCCAUUCCGCGUGCAGGAUGAAGGCCCUCGGGUUGUAAACUGCUUUUGUACGGAACGAAAAGGUUUCCAUUAAUACUGGGAGCUCAUGACGGUACCGUAAGAAUAAGCACCGGCUAACUACGUGCCAGCCGCCGCUGUAA
rnacentral:rRNA from 1 species